AUGUGUUUUUUUUUUUCAGAUAUUACCUAUAUAUUUCUGUACAACAUAUUCAGUGUUUUCUUUUGCUGCCUGAUUUACUUUAGCAAGGAUACCGACUAAAGAACUUUUCAAAACAAUUCCACGUCCCAAACUGUCGUCGCCUGGUUUUAAAAUCCAAAUAUUGCGUAUACCGUCGAUCUUGCUUUGCGAUCGAUAUUUUAUCAUUGUUUUUAUUACAUUGCGCACAGAUGUCACGAGUUUCUAUAAAUUCCAAAAUUCUUUUUAAUCACAUUUUUUAAAUAUUUUUUUUUCUCGUUAUAUAUAAUGAUAAAAAAAUAAUAUUAAAAUGUUUAUACUCACGUUUAUGUCAACUUUAUCGCUUUCUUUUAACAAAACACGUUCGUAUAUUAUUUUGUAGUACCAAUCUAGAAAUUGAUUCCAUGCAGAUGGAGGAGCAUCCUUAUAAUCCUUACGGUCAAUGUCCUCGUGUGUUUGGACGCUAAAAAUGGUUUUGUACAUUAUAUUUGUAUAAUACAAAUAUUUUUUUACAAACCUUAUAUAUUCUAUACAACGUUCCAAGGCGAAUAAAAUAGCAUCUAUGGGGAUUGUGCCAUUCAGAGACCAGACGUUCUUCGCUUCUACCAAAUUGGUAUCUUACGUUAAAGGGCACAUUGGUGUGAAUGAAGAGAGCUUCAUCACGAAUGAUCUGAUAAUACCAGCUAAUAAAUUGAUCCCACUGAUGAGACCAGACUCUCUCAACCUCCUGAUCGAUGUCUUCGUGUGAUUGGGCGCUGAUAUAAUCAUUGCAUCUUUUGAUUGCAAAAUCUAGAGCCUUGAGAGGUAUGGUACCAGUUGGUGAACGCACGACGUCUUCAUUCUCAGCAUUGACCUUAUCCACUAACCAUUUCAAAAGGCUCAAACAACUUAUAAUCGAUUAACAUUCACCGAAAAUCAUCAAUGAAGGCGUGCAUCUGGUCGCUUUGAUAAAUGUUGUAACAACGUGGAAAUAAUGUGUUAGCCACUCCAGCUUCGUAAUACCAGUGCAUUUGUCUGACGCUUGAACACAAGCCCACCUGAAUAAUUGAUUUUCGAAGAAGUUCAUGCAGCUUUUCCCUAACGUUUCGACGGCACGCUCGUCAAAAACGUCUAUUCUCGACCUAUAUCCUCUAUCUAAACAUUUCUACUUUACAAACAUUUGUCAAACGUCUGAAUUCUGAAUCAUGUUUGCCAAGUUUUCACAAAACAAAUCUUUUACAAUUAAAUUUUCUACUAAAAUUAGAAAAGUGAUUAUUCCGCAUUAUAUUUGACUUGUAAAUUCUAGAUUAUGGAGUCUAUAAAUAGAAGUUAAAAAUACGGUAAUUGAGAGAGUUCGCUAAUGAUACCUUGGACGUAAAACCAGCACGACAAUAUCGAUUGAACACAGUAGUUUUGUUAUCUUGCGCGGGCCAGCCGGGCCAGUCGGACCCCGUAUUCCAGAGGAAAUCGACAGUAUGAUGGGUUUGAAGAGGACUCAUCGUUGGCAUUCAUGUAACGGAUCUGAGAACCGCAGUUUUCCCACGCAAAUGCGUAUCACUGAUGUUUAUGGAUUUUUCAUCGCUCCGCAGAUUUCAAUAAAAAAGAAAGAACCGAAAGUGGAAAAGUAAAAAGAGCAUAGCCGUACGAUGAAUGGAACUGAGCGAAGAUGAUAUGCGGAUGGAAGUGGAGGCAAGACUGAACGAUGACGACGAGGACACACGCGAGUCAGAUGGUAGAAUCUGAUAUUUCGCAGGCGCGCGCCGCAGGGAUGUUUUAAGGCGCCCCUGUUAGAAGCAAUUGGAUCACGAUGAUAUCUCACUGCGAGAAUCAUUUAAUCAAAUCCUUCGUUCUCUCCCCCUGAGCUAUUAAAAAGCCAAUCAUCCCAAAUCAAUUGAGAAAAGUUGGAGGAGAAUUCGGAAGAAAUUCAAUGUCAAUCUUUGUCGUAUAAAAAGUUCCGAACGGAAGUCCUUGAAGUGUUGAAGGCACUCAUGAAUGUACAAGACGCUUUCAAGUAUCUCCUAAUUAUUGGGAGUGACAUAUGCAUGACGAACAAGCACUAGACUAAAUGGUCGCGUUAACCAGGGCAAUAAAAGCGGAUGAAACGUUCCUGAACACGUGAGCUGUGCAGGUGAUGGUUGAACGGUAGCUUACGAGCAGCGUACCAGGCACACCCCCGCGGCGCAAUUGCCGCGCAACCCCCCGGGUCGGAAAUAUGGGCAAGGAAGUCAAAGCAAUCGCAUGGCUAAUCGGAUCACGCUUCUCUCUCCUCGGCUGCUUCGCGUACAUUCUGACCCACUUACACGGCUGCAUCUCCGGUGAAGGCAGGUGGCGGCGUAAUGAAUCGCUCGUUCGUUAUUCGACUUGGUAUUUUCGUUAAUUGCAGAGGGAGGUUUGAUCCUCGUCAUCUGAUAAUGUCUAUUUUCGGAAACCGACCGAAUUCGUUUCCAAAUUCAACAUUGAUCGCGUGCGAGAUGGGACGCACGCGGAACGAGAUCUUUAGCAAUACUUUGAGAUUUGUUUAACAAAAUAUAUUAAUAGAACAUGAAACACUGAGAAUUUAUUGGAUGAACGAUCUGAAUGAUUGACAUAUUGCUGUCAUUGACAGACGGUAUUGAAGAAGUGAAGAUCGCGAAACGCAAAUGACACAUAGGAAACAUAUAUGUAAGAUAUAUGAAAAAUAUAAUAAUGUAAAAAUAUAAUCAUGUUAUCUGAUGGUAGAAUGAAUUUCUGGAAACUUUAUACACCAUAUUGCUUUAUGUAAAUAUCUUUGAUUACCUAAUCUUAUUUUUCAACAUUAGUCUUUUUCUCAUUCUAUAUGACUAUACGUCAUCGAGAUACUAUCAGCGACUUUUUCCGCUUUUUUAUUUGCUUUGCAACUAUUAUUUGGACUGAAGUAAGUGUCAAGGUUACGCGACCUUUAACAGUAACAAAACCGUUUCUUAUCUAGCGCGAUGAAUCAUCAAAAAUUUAUAUAUAAUUUUCACUUUCUUAGCGAUGAAUAAUGAUGCAAUUCUUUGUACCAUUCUUUUUCUAUUCAUAAAUUAUUUUUGUUAUUAAUUCUAUUAUUAAAUAUUCCCAGAUAGUCAAAUGCAGUGAGUUUGCUGUCAUGUUGCUAGCAAUCGUGUUAUGUUGAAAGCAACUAAUUUUAAAAAACUUAAAACAAGGUGAGCUUAAAGC